CCCCCUCCCGGGGACUCCCGCAGCCGCGCGCUGCCCGAGUCCGCCCGGGAGAACAACAAACCUCGGCGCCGGACGCGCCAAGGAACUCGAACGAACGAGCGCGCUCCCGGCGGCCCGGAGACGGCGCCCGCGCGGGGAGCGUCGCGAGAACUGUAUCCAAAAAGACUCUCGGCAACGGAUACUUGGUGUGAAUUGCAGAAUCCCGUGAACCAUCGAGUCUUUGAACGCAAGUUGCGCCCGAAGCCAUUAGGCCGAGGGCACGUCUGCCUGGGUGUCACACAACGUCGCCCCCUCCCCGCCGCCCUAGAGGCGGCGAGUCGGGCGGGGCGGAUGAUGGCCUCCCGUGGGCGACUCGCCCCGCGGAUGGCCGAAAGACGAGCCUGCGGCGUGGACCGCCGCGACGGACGGUGGAAGAGCGAAACCUCGAGACCGGUCGCGCGCGAGUCCKCCCGUGGGGCAGGCUGCCAGACCCUUUAGCGUCGCCGCGUACGGCGGGCGCAURAGACGCGACCCCAGGUCAGGCGGGGCCACCCGCUGAG
rnacentral:rRNA from 1 species